UUCUUGAUAAAUACCAAAUCUUUGUCUUGAUAAUCUUCAUCCUCUGCCUCUGCAAGAAUGACAGUAGAUGACAAAAUUGAUGGUGAAAAAGAGCAGUUCCCUGUGGGCAUGAGAGUUCUUGCUGUUGAUGAUGACCCCACUUGUCUUAGACUCUUGGAUACUUUGCUCAGGCGCUGCCAGUACAAUGGUUUCUUUCUGGGUUUUCAUCUUUCAAAUUAAAGCUCAAAGCUUUCUGCUUUCAACUUUAUUUAUUAUUUUUUUCCAGAUUUUACUUGUUCUUCCUGGAUAUUUAAUUGCUCUUGCUUCUUCUUUUUUCCUGCCAAUCUGUUUGAGAAUUUACUUCUAGGAUUCCACCAAGAGAAUUUGAUUUGGAUGAUACUAUGAUUGUUUUCAGUUCAGUGAGUUAUGAUAAUCUGUACAACUUCAAAAUAAAUUGUGCUUUUUUGUGAGCUUUCUGUUUGCUGUUCUACUAAUAUGCAACUUGAGUUCAUCACAAAUGCAUGCUUCAGAUGUUUAUAUGUUGUAGACCGGUAUUGAUUUAGUUACUUUAUGUUUGUCACAAUGUGGAUUUGUUUGUUUUUAUGUUCUGGUUUCCCUUUCGUGGCUUUAGUAAAGUUUAUCGCUUUAGGUA
rnacentral:lncRNA from 1 species